GACGAACGCUGGCGGCGUGCCUAAUACAUGCAAGUAGAACGCCGUUUCGAACGGGUGAGUAAAGCGUAGGUAACUGCCUCAUAGCGGGGGAUAACUAUUGGAAACGAUAGCUAAUACCGCAUACUGUGAGCUGGACCUGCGUUGGAUGAGCUAGUUGGUGAGGUAAAGGCUCACCAAGGCGACGAUACAUAGCCGAUCUGAGAGGAUGAUCGGCCACACUGGGACUGAGACACGGCCCAGACUCCUACGGGAGGCAGCAGUGGGGAAUCUUGGGCAAUGGACGGAAGUCUGACGGAGCAAUGCCGCGUGUGUGAAGAAGGUUUUCGGGUCGUAAAGCACUUUUGUUAGGGAAGGGUAAACUAACCAGAAAGGGACGGCUAACUACGGGCCAGCGGCGGGGGUAAUC
rnacentral:rRNA from 1 species